GGGCCCGCACAAGCGGUGGAGCAUGUGGUUUAAUUCGAUGCAACGCGAAGAACCUUACCAGGACUUGACAUACUACAAAUUCUUUUGAGAAAAAGAAGUGCCUUCGGGAAUGUAGAUACAGGUGGUGCAUGGCUGUCGUCAGCUCGUGUCGUGAGAUGUUGGGUUAAGUCCCGCAACGAGCGCAACCCUUAUUUUUAGUUACCAAUUCGUUGGGUUCUCUAGAAAGACUGCCGGUGACAAACCGGAGGAAGGUGAGGAUGACGUCAAGUCAGCAUGCCCCUUAUGUCCUGGGCUACACACGUGCUACAAUGGUUAAGACAAAGAGUCGCGAGCUCGUGAGAGUCAGCUAAUCUCAUAAACUUAGCCCAAGUUCAGAUUGUAGGCUGCAACUCGCCUACAUGAAGUUGGAAUCGCUAGUAA
rnacentral:rRNA from 1 species